GAUUUUACCUGGCAGCAGACACACCGUGAUCAGGCACGGUGAGGCUCAUUCCUUGUAUUUUGGGUGUGCUGAGUCGUGUGAUUUCUCCGGAUGCAGGAAACUCAACUGCAUAACUUAUGGUAGCAGGGGGACUGUGUUUUUUCUUAUUUAUU
ensembl:snRNA U1 U1 spliceosomal RNA